AUUUCCAUGAGGGGCGUAAAAAUAAAGAGAUAUGAAAAAAGUAAAAUAAGAAUAGAUUGCAGUAAAGGGAACAAGAAAAUACAAUGAUUUUUAAUGCACGAUCAUACACGAACAAGUUUCAACUCAUUCUUUGUUUUAAUAUCAAUUUGAAAGAGCAUAAGGAUUCAGCAAUUUUUCAUAUUGGUUCGCUCAGGAUAGCGUAUGACAAUUGCUUAAAUUAAGUAAUUUAUUCAAUUUAAUUUUAAUUCAUGCC